rnacentral:rRNA from 1 species
CCUACGGGUGGCAGCAGUGAGGAAUAUUGGUCAAUGGGCGCGAGCCUGAACCAGCCAAGUAGCGUGAAGGAUGACUGCCCUACGGGUUGUAAACUUCUUUUAUAAAGGAAUAAAGUGAGGCACGUGUGCCUUUUUGUAUGUAAUUUAUGAAUAAGGAACGGCUAACUCCGUGCCAGCAGCCGCGGUAAUACGGAGGAUCCGAUCGUUAUCCGGAUUUUUUGGGUUUAAAGGGAGCGUAGGUGGGUUGUUAAGUCAGUUGUGAAAGUUUGCGGCACAACCGUAAAAUUGCAAUUGAUACUGGCAGCCUUGAGUACAGUUGAGGUAGGCGGAAUUCGUGGUGUAGCGGUGAAAUGCUUAGAUAUCACGAAGAACUCCGAUUGCGAAGGCAGCUUACUAACCUGCCACUGACAUUGAUGCUCGAAAGUGUGGGUAUCAAACAGGAUUAGAUACCCGAGUAGUC